rnacentral:rRNA from 1 species
UCACCGCCCGUCACACCAUGGGAGUUGUGUUUGCCUUAAGUCAGGAUGCUAAAUUGGCUACUGCCCACGGCACACACAGCGACUGGGGUGAAGUCGUAACAAGGUAACCGUAGGUGAACCUGCGGUUGGAUCACCUCCUUUCUAGA